AACGUAGGAGACAAGCGUUAUCCGGAUUUACUGGGCGUAAAGCGCGUGUAGGUGGCUAGGUAAGUCGGGCAUGAAAUCUCUUGGCUCAACUAAGAGAGGCUGUCCGAUACUAUUUGGCUUGAGGGCAGUAGAGGGUGGUGGAAUUCCCUGUGUAGUGGUGAAAUGCGUAGAGAUAGGGAGGAACACCAGUGGCGAAGGCGACCACCUGGACUGCUACUGACACUCAGACGCGAAAGCUAGGGUAGCGAACGGG
rnacentral:rRNA from 1 species